GUGCUGGAUCUGAGACACUGACGGAAGAGACAUUGUCCAGGAGACUUUGGGACACACCUGUAACAAGACCACAUUUCCUAAUUCUUCCCAAAUAGUUUCACCAACUGGGGACCAAGUAUGCAAACAUAUAUGUCUAUUGAUAUGAGCUCUU